CAGUCGCCGCGGGAAUACAGAGGGUGCAAGCGUUAAUCGGAAUUACUGGGCGUAAAGCGCGCGUAGGUGGUUUGUUAAGUUGGAUGUGAAAUCCCCGGGCUCAACCUGGGAACUGCAUCCAAAACUGGCAAGCUAGAGUAUGGUAGAGGGUGGUGGAAUUUCCUGUGUAGCGGUGAAAUGCGUAGAUAUAGGAAGGAACACCAGUGGCGAAGGCGACCACCUGGGCUCAUACUGACACUGAGGUGCGAAAGCGUGGGGAGCAAACAGGAUUAGAUACCCCCGUAGUCCCUGUCUCUUAUAC
rnacentral:rRNA from 1 species